rnacentral:lncRNA from 1 species
UUUCCUUCCGUCCAACCACGAGACGACCGUUUCUAUUCCACUUGGAGGAAGUGGAUCUCAGUUGGCCUCUUUCAGAUCCCCCAUCCUCCACUCUCCCCAUCCGUGGCCGCCGCCACUACACGAAAAAGGCUGGCGGCUGCCUCAACCUCGCCAUCCACGGCCAUCUGCCACCGCAGCAAUAGCCUCAUCCCGCAGGCGGGGACGGCCCUGACGGCGACGUCACCGGUGCCGUUGUUGUGGAUGGUGCCCAUCUUGUUGCAAGGGACUAGCAGGUCCCUCGUGUGCGUGCCAAAGCUGGAUGGGCCUGGUGCAAUGAGUACAUACAUGCUCGAGGUGGAGUCCUCCGCAUCGGACGGGCGGGAUCUCAUAUUCUCUGUUUUUUGAGGGAUCUGUGGAGGCCAGGGGCUGCGCGCCUGCGACGAUCUGCGGACGGUACUAAGCCUGGUGUCGUUCCUUUGUCUCCACCGGUGCCACUUCCCUCGCCUUGUCAUAUUCACCGACCUUGGCAGGCUAUGAGCAGCAUGUACCACCAGGUCCUUCUCCCACUAUUGCUUUUGAUUUUUGCAUCCCUUUCUUUUCUGACAUUCCAAGACGUUCUUAUGGUUUCUGGACAUGCAGGUAGUACAUGUUCUAUGGAGUCUUCAUCGGUACAGACAGGGUGUCGUUAAGGAGCAUGGUUCGUGGUGAGAUGGUUGCAAAAAUGGUCUCUCCCUCUAAUGACUUCAGUGGGUACGGCCGGAUCUGCGGCAACAAAGGCACGGGGAUGAACCCUGCUUGAUGCAUGACGAGCGCCACCAGUGCUUGAGGAGUUGGAGAUGGACGAGUAGCCUAGUGUUCCGUCCGAUGUUUGUAAUUUCAAGUUUUUAGGGAUCCUUUUUGACAUGCUAUAUCCAACCAUCCGUUGGCAAGUCUACGCAGUAGCAUACAGUUGGAUUAGCUAUCGGACGAGUGUGUUCAGACGAGUUUGAUCUUUUUUUCUUCUGUACAUGUGUAUUUCCCUGAGAUUUUAUGUAAUGAUUAUUUAUUUAAUAAAUAAAGAUAUAUUUUUCUGACAAAAC